rnacentral:rRNA from 1 species
CAGUCGCCACGGGAAUACAGAGGGUGCAAGCGUUAAUCGGAAUUACUGGGCGUAAAGCGCGCGUAGGUGGUUUGUUAAGUUGGAUGUGAAAUCCCCUGGCUCAACCUGGGAACUGCAUCCAAAACUGGCAAGCUAGAGUAUGGUAGAGGGUGGUGGAAUUUCCUGUGUAGCGGUGAAAUGCGUAGAUAUAGGAAGGAACACCAGUGGCGAAGGCGACCACCUGGACUGAUACUGACACUGAGGUGCGAAAGCGUGGGGAGCAAACAGGAUUAGAUACCCGCGUAGUCCCUGUCUCUUAUAC